rnacentral:rRNA from 1 species
UACAGGGGGGGGCAAGCGUUGUUCGGAAUUACUGGGCGUAAAGGGCCAGUAGGCGGCCAACUAAGUCCGACGUGAAAUCCCCAGGCUUAACCUGGGAACUGCGUCGGAUACUGGAUGGCUUGAAUUCGGGAGAGGGAUGCAGAAUUCCAGGUGUAGCGGUGAAAUGCGUAGAUAUCUGGAGGAAUACCGGUGGCGAAGGCGGCAUCCUGGACCGACAUUGACGCUGAACGGCGAAAGCUAGGGGGAGCGA